UACGAAGGGAGCUAGCGUUGUUCGGAAUCACUGGGCGUAAAGCGCACGUAGGCGGAUGUGUCAGUCAGGGGUGAAAUCCCGGAGCUCAACUUCGGAACUGCCCUUGAUACAGCACAUCUGGAGUCCGGAAGAGGUGGGUGGAAUUCCUAGUGUAGAGGUGAAAUUCGUAGAUAUUAGGAAGAACACCGGUGGCGAAGGCGGCCCACUGGUCCGGUACUGACGCUGAGGUGCGAAAGCUAGGGGAGCGAACAGG
rnacentral:rRNA from 1 species